rnacentral:rRNA from 1 species
CAGUCGCCGCGGUAAUACGGAGGGUGCAAGCGUUAUCCGGAUUUAUUGGGUUUAAAGGGUCCGUAGGCGGAUCUGUAAGUCAGUGGUGAAAUCUCACAGCUUAACUGUGAAACUGCCAUUGAUACUGCAGGUCUUGAGUAAAUUUGAAGUGGCUGGAAUAAGUAGUGUAGCGGUGAAAUGCAUAGAUAUUACUUAGAACACCAAUUGCGAAGGCAGGUCACUAAGAUUUAACUGACGCUGAUGGACGAAAGCGUGGGGAGCGAACAGGAUUAGAGACCCCCGUAGUCCCUGUCUCUUAUAC